rnacentral:piRNA from 1 species
UAACCAAAUCAGUUGCACCCCUCCACCCC